rnacentral:rRNA from 1 species
UUAGUACGGCGAGUGAGCGGCAAAAGCUCAAAUUUGAAAUCUGGUACCUUCGGUGCCCGAGUUGUAAUUUGGAGAGGGCAACUUUGGGGCCGUUCCUUGUCUAUGUUCCUUGGAACAGGACGUCAUAGAGGGUGAGAAUCCCGUGUGGCGAGGAGUGCGGUUCUUUGUAAAGUGCCUUCGAAGAGUCGAGUUGUUUGGGAAUGCAGCUCUAAGUGGGUGGUAAAUUCCAUCUAAAGCUAAAUAUUGGCGAGAGACCGAUAGCGAACAAGUACAGUGAUGGAAAGAUGAAAAGAACUUUGAAAAGAGAGUGAAAAAGUACGUGAAAUUGUUGAAAGGGAAGGGCAUUUGAUCAGACAUGGUGUUUUGUGCCCUCUGCUCCUUGUGGGUAGGGGAAUCUCGCAUUUCACUGGGCCAGCAUCAGUUUUGGUGGCAGGAUAAAUCCAUAGGAAUGUAGCUUGCCUCGGUAAGUAUUAUAGCCUGUGGGAAUACUGCCAGCUGGGACUGAGGACUGCGACGUAAGUCAAGGAUGCUGGCAUAAUGGUUAUAUGCCGCCCGUCUUGAAACACGGACAAA